UGAGCUCGAUGAGUAGGGCGGGACACGUGGUAUCCUGUCUGAAUAUGGGGGGCCCAUCCUCCAAGGCUAAAUACUCCUGACUGACCGAUAGUGAACCAGUACCGUGAGGGAAAGGCGAAAAGAACCCCGGCGAGGGGAGUGAAAAAGAACCUGAAACCGUGUACGUACAAGCAGUGGGAGCACGCUUAGGCGUGUGACUGCGUACCUUUUGUAUAAUGGGUCAGCGACUUAUAUUCUGUAGCAAGGUUAACCGAAUAGGGGAGCCGAAGGGAAACCGAGUCUUAACUGGGCGUUAAGUUGCAGGGUAUAGACCCGAAACCCGGUGAUCUAGCCAUGGGCAGGUUGAAGGUUGGGUAACACUAACUGGAGGACCGAACCGACUAAUGUUGAAAAAUUAGCGGAUGACUUGUGGCUGGGGGUGAAAGGCCAAUCAAACCGGGAGAUAGCUGGUUCUCCCCGAAAGCUAUUUAGGUAGCGCCUCGUGAAUUCAUCUCCGGGGGUAGAGCACUGUUUCGGCA
rnacentral:rRNA from 1 species